rnacentral:rRNA from 1 species
GGUAUCAGAAGUGCGAAUGCUGACAUAAGUAACGAUAAAGCGGGUGAAAAGCCCGCUCGCCGGAAGACCAAGGGUUCCUGUCCAACGUUAAUCGGGGCAGGGUGAGUCGACCCCUAAGGCGAGGCCGAAAGGCGUAGUCGAUGGGAAACGGGUUAAUAUUCCCGUACUUGGUGUUACUGCGAAGGGGGGACGGAGAAGGCUAUGUUGGCCGGGCGACGGUUGUCCCGGUUUAAGCGUGUAGGUGUGUGUUCCAGGUAAAUCCGGUUCACUUUAACACUGAGGCGUGAUGACGAGGCACUACGGUGCUGAAGCAACAAAUGCCCUGCUUCCAGGAAAAGCCUCUAAGCAUCAGGUAACAUCAAAUCGUACCCCAAACCGACACAGGUGGUCAGGUAGAGAAUACCAAGGCGCUUGAGAGAACUCGGGUGAAGGAACUAGGCAAAAUGGUGCCGUAACUUCGGGAGAAGGCACGCUGACACGUAGGUGAAGUGAUUUACUCACGGAGCUGAAGUCAGUCGAAGAUACCAGCUGGCUGCAACUGUUUAUUAAAAACACAGCACUGUGCAAACACGAAAGUGGACGUAUACGGUGUGACGCCUGCCCGGUGCCGGAAGGUUAAUUGAUGGGGUCAGCGUAAGCGAAGCUCCUGAUCGAAGCCCCGGUAAACGGCGGCCGUAACUAUAACGGUCCUAAGGUAGCGAAAUUCCUUGUCGGGUAAGUUCCGACCUGCACGAAUGGCGUAAUGAUGGCCAGGCUGUCUCCACCCGAGACUCAGUGAAAUUGAACUCGCUGUGAAGAUGCAGUGUACCCGCGGCAAGACGGAAAGACCCCGUGAACCUUUACUAUAGCUUGACACUGAACAUUGAGCCUUGAUGUGUAGGAUAGGUGGGAGGCUUUGAAGUGUGGACGCCAGUCUGCAUGGAGCCGACCUUGAAAUACCACCCUUUAAUGUUUGAUGUUCUAACGUGGACCCGUAAUCCGGGUUGCGGACAGUGUCUGGUGGGUAGUUUGACUGGGGCGGUCUCCUCCUAAAGAGUAACGGAGGAGCACGAAGGUUGGCUAAUCCUGGUCGGACAUCAGGAGGUUAGUGCAAUGGCAUAAGCCAGCUUGACUGCGAGCGUGACGGCGCGAGCAGGUGCGAAAGCAGGUCAUAGUGAUCCGGUGGUUCUGAAUGGAAGGGCCAUCGCUCAACGGAUAAAAGGUACUCCGGGGAUAACAGGCUGAUACCGCCCAAGAGUUCAUAUCGACGGCGGUGUUUGGCACCUCGAUGUCGGCUCAUCACAUCCUGGGGCUGAAGUAGGUCCCAAGGGUAUGGCUGUUCGCCAUUUAAAGUGGUACGCGAGCUGGGUUUAGAACGUCGUGAGACAGUUCGGUCCCUAUCUGCCGUGGGCGCUGGAGAACUGAGGGGGGCUGCUCCUAGUACGAGAGGACCGGAGUGGACGCAUCACUGGUGUUCGGGUUGUCAUGCCAAUGGCACUGCCCGGUAGCUAAAUGCGGAAGAGAUAAGUGCUGAAAGCAUCUAAGCACGAAACUUGCCCCGAGAUGAGUUCU